UUAAACUUUGAUUGAGUAUUUCGUUCAGACACAGCCUUGAUAAGGGUGGUUCAGUGAUUAGCAUUGUUCCCUCGCACCAUCAGUGUUGGGGUUUUGAAAUCUACCUCUGAUCCUGGUCUCUGUAUGGAGUUCUUCCAGUAUCAUGCAGGUUCCCUCCAGGUACUCAUCUCCUCCUGCAAUCCAAAGGCAUGCAGUGCCAUCUUGUGGAAGAGACCACUCCCAGCAAAAGUCGUUUUCAGACAACAUUUACGCCCUGCCAACUUGAAGCUUGAAUAAAGGAAAUCACCCAAUUCCCACCAUGAAUGUGUCGAUGAAGUAUUUGGGCUGAACAACUCUGUUUUCCAAGGAAUAUAGAGUACCUCUGUUUAGGAACCAGAAGGUAUGGCUCCUGCAGAAGGUAUAUCUCUUAAAAAGCUUAACUCUCCUGGAAGUCAAGGACCCUUUCC